rnacentral:rRNA from 1 species
GGAUGAGAUGGCGCAAGCCUGACCGAGCGACGCCGCGUGUGGGAUGAAGGCCCUUGGGUUGUAAACCACUGUCAGAGGGGAUGAAAUGCGGGUGGGUUCUCCCAUCCGUUUGACAUAGCCUCAGAGGAAGCACGGGCUAAGUUCGUGCCAGCAGCCGCGGUAAUACGAACUGUGCAAACGUUAUUCGGAAUCACUGGGCUUAAAGGGUGCGUAGGCGGCCAUGUAAGUAGGGUGUGAAAGCCCCCGGCUU